GAAUUAAGCUUUCUCGUAUCGUAAUGUUAUAUUAAAUUGUAAUUAAUACAUUCCAUCACUCAAAUAAAAGUAAAAUAAUUAUUAACUCGGAUAUAAGAAGUGAAACUAGCUGUAAAGUGACUACAAGUGUUCAUUCUCGGCUUAAAAUAAAUAAAUAGGUAACAAGUAAAUUAAGUGAAUUACGCCUUAGCGAUCGUGUUGUCAUGUGUCGAAUUCAAAGAGAAAGUAGGUAUACAAUAGAGCCCGAUGACGGCGACGUUUGUUUGUUCUGGAUCUGAGCACGUGCCCCGCGCGGGCGAGCGGCCCGCGCCUGUUGCGCAACACCACAAGCAACACGGCGCACGGCGCAAGCCCGGCCAAAGUUGCCUUCCUACCUGCCGUGCCUUACUGUCGGCACAUUUUUUAUCGCAAUUAUUCCAAUUUAUCUACGUAGAACUAAUUCCACUAUUGAGCAAGAGCCAGUGAUCGCCAGACCUACGUUAUUUAAUAAAAGCUGAAAGUUUGUCAACCCAACAAAGAUCAUCAUGAAGUUUGCGACAUCAUGCAGGCUUUGUCAGCUACCCUAAAAUGCUGGCCUGGCAAGGCUUUGGAACGGUCAAAACUAUCGCUCUUGCCUGAGGAAACAUAAUAUAAUUAUUGCCCAAAUAUUAUUUAUAAUAGAAUAUUUUUUACUUAGACUAAACAAAACUAAACAAAAAGUAACACUACCUCAGUUACUUUUUGUUUAGUCUAAGUAAAAAAUAUUCUAGUUAUCUUAAGAGUUUAAUAUGUAACUGUUAAUUGCCAUGUACCGUGUGUCCUCACUAUAUUUUAUCAACAUUGUUAACCUGUGUUACUUAAGGCUGCCGCGACACAAGCACAGCUUAGUGCAGCAGCCGCUAGAUAAACAGACUGUAAAUU